AACGAACGCUGGCGGCAUGCCUAACACAUGCAAGUCGAACGAGACCUUCGGGUCUAGUGGCGCACGGGUGCGUAACGCGUGGGAACCUGCCCUUAGGUUCGGAAUACCUCCCCGAAAGGGGUGCUAAUACCGGAUAAUGUAUUCGGACAAAAGAUUUAUCGCCUUUGGAUGGGCCCGCGUUGGAUUAGCUAGUUGGUAGUGUAAAAGCCUACCAAGGCGACGCUCCACAGCUGGUCUGAGAGGAUGAUCAGCCACACUGGGACUGAGACACGGCCCAGACUCCUACGGGAGGCAGCAGUGGGGAAUAUUGGACAAUGGGCGAAAGCCUGAUCCAGCAAUGCCGCGUGAGUGAUGAAGGCCUUAGGGUUGUAAAGCUCUUUUACCCGGGAUGAUAAUGACAGUACCGGGAGAAUAAGCUCCGGCUAACUCCGUG
rnacentral:rRNA from 1 species